rnacentral:rRNA from 1 species
UGAGGAAUAUUGGUCAAUGGGCGGAAGCCUGAACCAGCCAUGCCGCGUGCAGGAAGGAGGCCCUACGGGUUGUAAACUGCUUUUACCCGGGAAGAAACCGCCCCCUGUGGGGGGCGUUGCCGGUACCGGGGGAAAAAGGAUCGGCUAACUCCGUGCCAGCAGCCGCGGUAAUACGGAGGAUCCGGGCGUUAUCCGGAAUUACUGGGUUUAAAGGGUGCGUAGGCGGGGCUUUAAGCCGGCGGUGAAAUGGCGGGGCUCAA